AUGGAAAAAUAUGUAUUCCAUAAUUUGGUCAAGUGCUUCCAAGAGAGACAACUUCUACAAGAUGAGAGGCUUGUUUCCGUGGAAGAGCAAGUAGCAAUAUUCUUAUAUACCCUUUCGGCAAAUGCAAGCAACCGUACUCUGCAAGGGCAAUUUCAACAUAGUGGUCAAACCAUAAGUAUAUAUUUCAAUAAAGUGCUACAAAGUAUUAUGUUACUAUCUGGACAGCUCAUACAGUUGCCACCAAUAAAUGUCCCUCAAAAGGUUUCAAGCAACCCUAAAUUUGUGCCGUACUUUCAGGUACGCAUCUUGUAG
rnacentral:rRNA from 1 species